AGAGUCUUAUCCUGGCUCAGGAUGAACGCUAGCGACAGGCUUAACACAUGCAAGUCGAGGGGCAGCGGGGAGUGAGGCUUGCCUUACUCUGCCGGCGACCGGCGCACGGGUGAGUAACACGUAUGCAACCUACCCUUUACAGCGGGAUAACCGGAAGAAAUUUCGCCUAAUACCGCAUAUACUCCUUGGGAGGCAUCUUCCGAGGGGGAAAGAAUUUCGGUGAAGGAUGGGCAUGCGUCGCAUUAGUUAGUUGGCGGUGUAACGGACCACCAAGACGACGAUGCGUAGGGGUUCUGAGAGGAAGGUCCCCCACACUGGUACUGAGACACGGACCAGACUCCUACGGGAGGCAGCAGUGAGGAAUAUUGGUCAAUGGCCGAGAGGCUGAACCAGCCAAGUCGCGUGAGGGAAGAAUGUCCUAUGGAUUGUAAACCUCUUUUGUCAGGGAGCAAAGUCACCCACGUGUGGUGUUGGAGAGUACCUGAAGAAAAAGCAUCGGCUAACUCCGUGCCAGCAGCCGCGGUAAUACGGAGGAUGCGAGCGUUAUCCGGAUUUAUUGGGUUUAAAGGGUGCGUAGGCGGGUUAUCAAGUCAGCGGUAAAAUCGUGGAGCUCAACUCCAUCCAGCCGUUGAAACUGAUGAUCUUGAGUGGGCGAGAAGUAUGCGGAAUGCGUGGUGUAGCGGUGAAAUGCAUAGAUAUCACGCAGAACUCCGAUUGCGAAGGCAGCAUACCGGCGCCCGACUGACGCUGAAGCACGAAAGCGUGGGUAUCGAACAGGAUUAGAUACCCUGGUAGUCCACGCAGUAAACGAUGAAUACUAAUUGUGUGCUCCGAAUGAGGAGUGCGUGAUACAGCGAAAGCGUUAAGUAUUCCACCUGGGGAGUACGCCGGCAACGGUGAAACUCAAAGGAAUUGACGGGGGCCCGCACAAGCGGAGGAACAUGUGGUUUAAUUCGAUGAUACGCGAGGAACCUUACCCGGGCUCAAACGCAGGAGGGAUGUUUUUGAAAGGAGGCAGCUCUACGGAGUCUCCUGCGAGGUGCUGCAUGGUUGUCGUCAGCUCGUGCCGUGAGGUGUCGGCUUAAGUGCCAUAACGAGCGCAACCCCUACCGCCAGUUGCCAACGGGUAAAGCCGGGAACUCUGGCGGGACUGCCGGCGCAAGCUGUGAGGAAGGCGGGGAUGACGUCAAAUCAGCACGGCCCUUACGUCCGGGGCGACACACGUGUUACAAUGGCAGGUACAGCGGGAAGCCACUUGGCGACAAGGCGCGGAACCCGAAAACCUGUCUCAGUUCGGAUUGGAGUCUGCAACCCGACUCCAUGAAGCUGGAUUCGCUAGUAAUCGCGCAUCAGCCACGGCGCGGUGAAUACGUUCCCGGGCCUUGCACACACCGCCCGUCA
rnacentral:rRNA from 1 species